rnacentral:rRNA from 1 species
GAUGAACGCUGGCGGCGUGCCUAAUACAUGCAAGUCGAGCGAACGGACGAGAAGCUUGCUUCUCUGCUGUUAGCGGCUGACGGGUGAGUAACACGUGGAUAACCUACCUAUAAGACUGGGAUAACUUCGGGAAACCGGAGCUAAUACCGGAUAAUAUUUUGAACCGCAUGGUUCAAAAGUGAAAGACGGCCUUGCUGUCACUUAUAGAUGGAUCCGCGCUGCAUUAGCUAGUUGGUAAGGUAACGGCUUACCAAGGCAACGAUGCAUAGCCGACCUGAGAGGGUGAUCGGCCACACUGGAACUGAGACACGGUCCAGACUCCUACGGGAGGCAGCAGUAGGGAAUCUUCCGCAAUGGGCGAAAGCCUGACGGAGCAACGCCGCGUGAGUGAUGAAGGUCUUCGGAUCGUAAAACUCUGUUAUUAGGGAAGAACAUAUGUGUAAGUAACUGUGCACAUCUUGACGGUACCUAAUCAGAAAGCCACGGCUAACUACGUG